GGGAAGUCCGUCGUUGUGGUCGGCAGGCGGCACGACACGCCGAUACUCACGCUGAUACGCGCGGACGGGCAGACCGUGGAACCGAUCGGCACUCGCGUCACUCGGCUCGCUACCGGGCCACGACCGAGGAUCCAUACAAUUCGCCGCCGCGGAGACCGGCUUGAGCUGGCGUUCUCGAGCUCCGGGUCUUACGCGUUGCUGGACGUAAGCGCAUCGCGCCGCGGUCGUCCCCUACGGGAGCGUGCCGUAACGCAUGCUCCGCGACGUAUUCGGAAGACUUCCAUUCAGGCGCCCCCGAGCGCAAGGUACCUCAGGCUUGUCGGCGUUCGAUCGGACGGAACCCGGUCACGUGUCCUGGUCAUGCGGAUCGCCAGAUAGCGCCCCCUGGGAGCGGGAGUAC
rnacentral:misc_RNA from 1 species